rnacentral:lncRNA from 1 species
GAGAAAAACCUUUUUUUUUUAAUUUUCUGCUGUAAAACCAGCAAGAGAGGCUCUAUUUGAUGCCUAAAAACUAGCAAGUAAAGCUUCCAAAAAUUCUUUCCAAAGAGGCAUGAGAUGAAGGCUUGGCGUGUGGGACUUGAGGUGUCCAACUCUUGGACACCCCCUCCUUUUUAGGCGACAUGGAGAAAGGGAGGAUGCCCUCU